CAGCCACACUCCAAGGGUGGAAUUCUCAUCCCCAUGUUACAGAAGAGCCUGAAAUUCAGAGAGGGAGAAACUGCCAUCAGCUGACUGUUGAGAGUGUCUGGAACACGGGGUUCAGAAGGAUUCUGAGGACCACUCAUGCUCUUCAAUUCUGACCUUUCUUGACGGUGAUUCUUCAGUGUUCCUUUAUGAAAAGACUCUUCAGGGACGUGAAAUUUCCCUUCUUCCAGACUCCUGCUCCAGUCCAGAUGAGGAAACUGAGGCACAGAAACACUGUUACUUGUCGAAGGUUCACAGCUGAAAGGAGGCACAGUUGGGAUACAGACCUGAGGUGCUGCAAGGGUCCUGCGCUGCCCCUACCUGUCCACUCACUUCUCAAAAGCGUGGCCCUCGGACCAGCAGCAUCAUCCUCAU